GUUUAGGUGAAAUUUUGAGAAAAAUGUGAUAGAAAUAGUAAUUGAAAGGCCAGAACGCACAAAGAAUGAAAAAAACUAAAGAAAAUAUUGCAUGCAUGUGCUUUUUGUCAACUGAAUUAUUGAGCUAACGGCCGUUAUUGUUAUGUAACAGUUAUCUGCCUUUCAAUAAUAAGGUAAAGGGUAACGGCCCCUUGAAAAACUGGUAAAUAAUAGUCAUUACAUAACAUAACGGCCAUUAUUUAAAACCAUGGUCUAGAUUCACCUCGACUCUGUUGCUUUUGGGGUUUAUGUAGGCAACCCUUUAUGAGUCAAAUUUUGGUCAUGGGAAUAAUUUCCUCCUCUUAGAGAUAUGAUGUGUGAACAGACAAUUAUUCAUGGGUAAUUGUCUUGAUUCACCUUGACUCUUUGGCAUCUUUGGGGGAUUUAGAUCGGCAACUUUUUAUGAGUCUAAAGGUUUGUAUUCACAUUUGGCCCUAAUUUUCUUUUUUAGCUAGCUUCCAAGCCAUUUUAAUU
rnacentral:misc_RNA from 1 species